UUUUUCACUGUUCAAUACAGAUGAUCCUGAAGCUGAUUGUCUCCCCUGCCAUGUUGCUGGAUGACUGGAUCUAGCUGCCCUCUCCUGUAGUCGGACUUCCGAGCGGACUUGGACAUUUUCCUAUGCUCGUUAUGCUGUGCUGCCAGUCUUGAUAGAGCUCUCUUCUUCACUUCAGGAGCUCCAAUACCAACAUCUGGUCUUCUGGCGUCAUCUGAAGAUGAUGUAUCUGGUUCGAACUGAGGAACAUUGAGCGCACCCACCAGUUGUCACCGUCAUCUCCAGAGCACACCUCGGAGUGCUGACUACACUUGGAACAGUCCCCUGAAUAGCACGACACGGUGGCAUCUAACACAUCAGUCUCCGAGUCUGACGAGGCGGUUGAUGCAUGUAUUGUACAGGGUCUAUCUUCGGUGUCCGCUGCUACAUUGGAUUGACUUUCCAGACUUGUUGUUACCAGCUGAGAUACUUUGGUGGCGGUCAGUCUUCUGGUCAGAACUGGGGUCACCUCUGU